rnacentral:piRNA from 1 species
UCUGUGCCGAGACAACCAUCUGGGAACAGAA